rnacentral:tRNA from 1 species
GGACGCUUAGCUCAGUUGGUAGAGCAUCUGACUCUUAAUCAGAGGGUCGCGGGUUCGAACCCCGCAGCGUCUA